CCGCCGCUGAAUUGUCCGCUGAUGUAGUCAGCGACAUGCCCAGGUAGUCAGCGAUCCACAAGGCUACGGCGCGGCACUCGCCACGCUGAUCGCACCCAGUCCGCUUCACAUCCCAUGCGCGGACGCCUGCCGUUUCGACGGCAGCGGAUGU
rfam:Thauera chlorobenzoica strain 3CB1, complete genome.